UAGGUGGCAAGCGUUAUCCGGAAUUAUUGGGCGUAAAGCGCGCGUAGGCGGUUUUUUAAGUCUGAUGUGAAAGCCCACGGCUCAACCGUGGAGGGUCAUUGGAAACUGGAAAACUUGAGUGCAGAAGAGGAAAGUGGAAUUCCAUGUGUAGCGGUGAAAUGCGCAGAGAUAUGGAGGAACACCAGUGGCGAAGGCGACUUUCUGGUCUGUAACUGACGCUGAUGUGCGAAAGCGUGGGGAGCAAACAGGAUUAGAUACCCU
rnacentral:rRNA from 1 species